rnacentral:rRNA from 1 species
GAUGAACGCUGGCGGCGUGCCUAAUACAUGCAAGUCGAGCGAAGCGGGGACGGGUGAGUAACACGUGGAUCACCUCCUAUAAGACUGGGAUAACUUCGGGAAACCGGAGCUAAACCGCAUGCUUAUAGAUUGAUCCCGGCUGCAUUAGCUAGUUGGUAAGGUAACGGCUUACCAAGGCAGCGAUGCAUAGCCCACCUGAGAGGGGGGUGGGCCGCACGGGAACUGGGACUGGGUCCAGACGACUACGGGAGGCAGCAGUAGGGAACCUUCCGCAGUAGGCGAAAGCAUGGCAGAGCGACGGAGCGUGAGUGAUGAAGGUCUUCGGAUCGUAAAACUCGGUUAUUAGGGAAGCGGUACUGAAUCAGAAAGCCACGGCUAACUACGUGCCAGCAGCCGCGGUAAUUC